rnacentral:rRNA from 1 species
GACGAACGCUGGCGGCGUGCCUAAUACAUGCAAGUCGAGCGAAGUUUUUCUGGUGCUUGCACCGGAAAAACUUAGCGGCGAACGGGUGAGUAACACGUAAAGAACCUGCCUUAUAGACUGGGACAACUAUUGGAAACGAUAGCUAAUACCGGAUAACAGCAUUAACUGCAUGGUUGAUGUUUGAAAGUUGGUUUUGCUAACACUAUGAGAUGGCUUUGCGGUGCAUUAGCUAGUUGGUGGGGUAAAGGCCUACCAAGGCGACGAUGCAUAGCCGACCUGAGAGGGUGAUCGGCCACACUGGGACUGAGACACGGCCCAGACUCCUACGGGAGGCAGCAGUAGGGAAUCUUCCGCAAUGGGCGAAAGCCUGACGGAGCAACGCCGCGUGAGUGAAGAAGGAUUUCGGUUCGUAAAGCUCUGUUGUUAGGGAAGAAUGAUUGUGUAGUAACGAUACACAAUAGAGACGGUACCUAACCAGAAAGCCACGGCUAACUACGUG